rnacentral:rRNA from 1 species
UACGGAGGGUGCAAACGUUGCUCGGAAUCAUUGGGCGUAAAGCGCACGUAGGCGGCCUGAUAAGUCGGGUGUGAAACCUCCAGGCUCAACCUGGAGACGCCACCCGAUACUGCUAUAGCUUGAGUCCGGUAGGGGAGCGUGGAAUUCCUGGUGUAGCGGUGAAAUGCGCAGAUAUCAGGAGGAACACCAGCGGCGAAGGCGGCGCUCUGGGCCGGUACUGACACUGAGGAGCGAAAGCGUGGGGAGCAAACAGG